rnacentral:snRNA from 1 species
UUUCUCUUUAGAGACAAUAUGAUAAAAUUGGAACAAUAUAGAGAUGAUUAGCAAGAGAAUGAGACGACAUACACUGAGAAAAAAGAUGAUUUG